rnacentral:rRNA from 1 species
GACGAACGCUGGCGGCGUGCUUAACACAUGCAAGUCGAACGGAAAGGCCCUGCUUUUGUGGGGUGCUCGAGUGGCGAACGGGUGAGUAACACGUGAGUAACCUGCCCUUGACUUUGGGAUAACUUCAGGAAACUGGGGCUAAUACCGGAUAGGAGCUCCUGCUGCAUGGUGGGGGUUGGAAAGUUUCGGCGGUUGGGGAUGGACUCGCGGCUUAUCAGCUUGUUGGUGGGGUAGUGGCUUACCAAGGCUUUGACGGGUAGCCGGCCUGAGAGGGUGACCGGCCACAUUGGGACUGAGAUACGGCCCAGACUCCUACGGGAGGCAGCAGGGGGGAAUAUUGCACAAUAGGCGGAAGCCUGAUGCAGCAACGCCGCGUGCGGGAUGACGGCCUUCGAGUUGUAAACCGCUUUCGCCUGUGACGAAGCGUGAGUGACGGUAAUGGGUAAAGAAGCACCGGCUAACUACGUG